GGCUGGAGUCUGCUACUCUUGUCUGAAUAUGGCUAAAGGAGUGACUUGGCUUUUCUAGGCUCCAGUUCUUUAAAUACUAAAUAAGAGCAACAGAGUGGACAACUAGAUAUCCAACCAGGUAACUUGGUGACUUGGAAGUUCUUGUGUCUAUGCUUCAUGGAUGGGAAUAGCCCUAAGCAGCAAGAAGGCCUGUGGGAUGAGUGGAGUGAUCAAACACUAAGGCAGGGACAAGGGAUCUUCAUGAAAGAGGGGACUCCUGCAUGUCUCAGUGUUCAAAGCUAGCAUCAUGGCAGAGGAACAUCGGCUUCUUCAUGGUGCUUCCAGCAGGUAAGUCUCUGUGAACAAUUAUCUAGAUUAACUGAGUUGGGAACACCUAGCCUAAGGUGAAUGGCACCAUUUCCAAGGCUGCUGGAUUGCUGGAUUGCUGGAUUGCUGGAUUGCUGGAUUGCUGAAUUGCACAAAAUGGAAAAAGCCACCUCAAGAACAUCAUCAUGGAAUGUUUUCUUUAAUCUGACCAGUUUGCUGGAAUAAUCUACUUAAAGU
rnacentral:lncRNA from 1 species